UACGAAGGGGGCGAGCGUUGUUCGGAUUUACUGGGCGUAAAGGGCGCGUAGGCGGCCUUGUCAGUCAGGCGUGAAAGCCCCGGGCUCAACCUGGGAACGGCGCUUGGGACGGCGAGGCUGGAGUUCGGGAGAGGAGAGUGGAAUUCCCAGUGUAGAGGUGAAAUUCGUAGAUAUUGGGAAGAGCACCGGUGGCGAAGGCGGCUCUCUGGACCGACACUGACGCUGAGGCGCGAAAGCGUGGGGAGCAAACAGG
rnacentral:rRNA from 1 species